rnacentral:sRNA from 1 species
CCCUAGCCCCGAUAGAAACGGCAUCCUUUUUCUUUUUUUGCUAAAAAAGAAAAAGAUAUAGUGGAUAGCGGGAUUAAGC